rnacentral:misc_RNA from 1 species
AUUGGUAUCUAUAGUAUAUUAGUUAGUAAUUGUAAAAUGUUGGUCGGCACCUGUAAAUGUGUUGGUUGGUACCUACAAUCGGUACCUAUGAUUUAUAGGUUGAUAGCUGCAAUUGGUACGUGCAAUUUGUAGGUUGAUACCGAGAGUUAGUAUCUACAAAUGUGUUGGUCGGUACCUAUAGUUGAUACCUGCCUAUUGUCUGCAUUUGUUAAAUAUAAGUGUUGUAGAACUUCUGCGUUUCUUACUUGACUUUUGGUGCUUUGAAAUGCUCACUCUACCGCUUGUAUUUUUAGUUAUGGCAUGAGACCCUUCUUCUAGUUCACAAGUACUAGUUGGUACCCAGAUACCUAUCUUGGUACCAGUAGCUCCGCAUGUACCAUUAACAGUACCACAGUUUUCCCCUAUUAGUAAUGGUGUUCCUAGGCUGAGUGUGACUUCUUCUGCCUUAUGAGUAUACACUCAACUGGCCUUUCCCAUGCCCGGUACCAACUUAUUUUCCCUCGCUGCUAGAGGUAAUUUUUUAUCUUACCAUACAUGUGAACUUUUAUGCAAGUUGUAUUUGAUCGUUGGCUAUAAAUUGGCUAAAUAUUGAAAAGGCAAUUUUCUGAAUGUUUGUAUUGCAGAGGAGACUCUGGCAAAAUUUUUAUUGAACAGGUAUCUUUGUUGACUCGCAGGUGUCUUUACAGGUGCCUUUG